rnacentral:rRNA from 1 species
UACCCAAUCCCGACACGGGGAGGUAGUGACAAUAAAUACUGAUACAGGGCUCUUUUGGGUCUUGUAAUUGGAAUGAGUACAAUUUAAAUCCCUUAACGAGGAACAAUUGGAGGGCAAGUCUGGUGCCAGCAGCCGCGGUAAUUCCAGCUCCAAUAGCGUAUAUUAAAGUUGUUGUGGUUAAAAAGCUCGUAGUUGAACCUUGGGCCUGGCUGGCCGGUCCGCCUCACCGCGUGUACUGGUCCGGCCGGGCCUUUCCCUCUGUGGAACCCCAUGCCCUUCACUGGGUGUGGCGGGGAAACAGGACUUUUACUUUGAAAAAAUUAGAGUGCUCCAGGCAGGCCUAUGCUCGAAUACAUUAGCAUGGAAUAAUAGAAUAGGACGUGUGGUUCUAUUUUGUUGGUUUCUAGGACCGCCGUAAUGAUUAAUAGGGACAGUCGGGGGCAUCAGUAUUCAAUUGUCAGAGGUGAAAUUCUUGGAUUUAUUGAAGACUAACUACUGCGAAAGCAUUUGCCAAGGAUGUUUUCAUUAAUCAGGAACGAAAGUUAGGGGAUCGAAGACGAUCAGAUACCGUCGUAGUCUUAACCAUAAACUAUGCCGACUAGGGAUCGGACGAUGUUAUUUUUUGACUCGUUCGGCACCUUACGAGAAAUCAAAGUGCUUGGGCUCCA